CCUUAGUUGUCCAGCAUUCAGUUGGGCACUCUAGGGAGGACUGCCGGUGGACAAACCGGAGGAAGGUGGGGAUGACGUCAAAUCAUCAUGCCCUUAUGAGUUGGGCUACACACGUGCUACAAUGGACGGUACAAAGGGCAGCGAAGCCGCGAGGUGGAGCCAAUCCCAGAAAGCCGUUCUCAGUUCGGAUUGCAGGCUGCAACUCGCCUGCAUGAAGUCGGAAUCGCUAGUAAUCGCAGGUCAGCAUACUGCGGUGAAUACGUUCCCGGGUCUU
rnacentral:rRNA from 1 species